CUCACCCCCUGCCUUCCUCCAGCCUUCCGUGUUUCCAGUUCCCCUCCCUGCUGGACACACAGCCUGUUCCCAAACAACCCCUGUUCCUGUUCUCUCUCUGUGUCUCCCCUCACAACUCCCCUCCUCUAAUCUCCAGCUGCCCAGGCCCCUGUUUUUGAGGGGCAUUCCUGGGCUGCUGCCCCCCCAUUCCUUAGAACUGAAGUGCCCAGAGCCCCAAGUGCAGAGAGGUCUGCAGGGAAUCAGUGCCCAGAGCUGCCCGUGCCUGCCUGUGUUCCUGCAGUUCUCCUUCCUGUUCUCCCUGGGCUGGAGAGACCUGCCUGCCCUGGGUUUAUUGGAGCAGAGGGAUGGGAUUACAUUGGUGCAGAAGGGAUGUUCACAGACACUCCUUUUCUGACAGGCAGUGCCAUUUCCCUUCUGCCUUUCCCAAGUUUUCCAAGUGCUGCCCAGCACUGGGAUCCGUGUGCUGGGACAGUGAUUGGCAGGAGGAAGGGGAGCCUUGGCCUCACCUGCCCAGCUCAGGCCAGGCCAAAGCCCUGCUCCAGCCCAGCUCUGCCCAGUGCCCUGGGCUGGGAGCAGCCAAAGGCAAGAGGCUGCAGCCCCGCCGGCCGGGCUGGGGGCUCCUGGUGCUGCCCGUGGGGUGGGAUGCUGGAAUUGCCUCUCUGGCUGUGUGCUGAGCUCUGGCUGCAGGGGACUGUCAGGCCUUGGUGGCUGUGAGUUCCUGUCCUUCUCCCUGACAAACUGGAAAGAGUUAUUCAUUAGAUUGCAGAAAUGUUUUCUGAAA